AGUUCCAGUUGAUGGAAGAUACUGCAGAGUUUGGCAGGAAAAUAACCCAAGACAGCAAAGCGGCUCUUUAAGCGCAUUUAUACCAAGAGGACUUACAGGGCCACAAAUUCACUGGUCAAAAUUUAUGUCCUUCGCAGGAAUGCCAACAGAUUAUCAAAGCUACAAGUCCAAUUGACCAUGAACAAGUUAAAGCAAAGGCAAGUGGUUAUUGCGUCCUGUGAAAUACAAUGUAUAUCAAAGAAAGAAUCACAAAAGGCUGUUAAAUGUUAAGCAUGAUUAUAUUUUAUAUUGCAACAGUGAACAUCAUCUUGCCAUAAAACAUAUGUCACGAAUUAAUUUCUUCGACCAUUUGCUCUUUAUAUACCCCCCGAUCUAAUGAUCGGGUGUAUAUUGUUUUUGGACUGUCUUUCUGUAAGUCAUUCAUUGUUUGUGCCCAUAAACUUUAACCUUGUUCAUAACUUUUGCAAUAUUGAGAUAGCAACUUGAUAUUUGGCAUGCAUGUGCAACCCAUGCGAAAGACAAAAUAUAUCAUAACUAAAACGAAAAUUUGCAAAUAUGAAACUUUUUGUUAAUUAUCCAUUUUGGAAUUGAUGCAAAAUGUAGCAUAAACCAGUGCUUAUAUUACGAAUAAGAUAUUACACAGUAUGUGAGUAUUUCUUUCACAUUAACAAAAGUGUGACAUUAUUUAUGACAAUAAUUGAUAUUAUAAUAUGACUUAUUAAUUUCUGAAUAUAAAUAAAUAACAUUUAUUUUCGCGGAAACGAUUGUUGUUAACUGGUUUCUAUAGAUACGAUUAAGGACUACUUUGUCUGUUUCGUUAUUUACGGAUUGCCUUGGUCGAGAUUGUUAGUACUAUAGAAUUGCGCAAUUUCCGUACCACGUGAUAUGACGUCAUUCCGCCUUUUGUUAACUGCCUGUGCUGGUGUUAUGAUCGUCAAAAACCCCACCCACCGCACCCUGAUUAAUAUCGAGACUGGUCGGACGUCCACAAUUAAAAAUACACAAAUUCAAUGUGUUACCAUAUCUUACAGAAAUACGGUUUAAAAUGUUUUUGUUGUAUGAUUCUGCCGAAAAGUUCUUUAUUUCCAGUCAAUGUACACCGGCUCCUGACGGGCUCCUAGAGUCCCGUGGCCGACUUCCAGGCGCGUACCUGUGCCGGGGCCAGGCAACUUCCUCACGACCGAUCAAAAUGGGUCCAACAUUGGGUCCUGUUCAACUGGGGCGCAUUCCGACCGACAGCGUGUCGCAGCGCUUGGGGUGUCUUGGGUGGCUACAACUGACCAACGGACUGUGGCGUGCUCUUAUAGUGCACAUGAUUUUUACCGCUACCUACGUGACAAUGACUCAGCACAUUUUCUCGAAUGGACUCGGUGGUCUACAUGCGUAGAUUAUCAUCUUAGUCUUUCGGGUACCUCCAAGUAAUUCAAGGCUCAGCGCAUAUCCGUGCCGGUGCCGGCAACAUCCUCACAAGCAAUCCAUAUGGAUUCAACAUAAGUUCGUGUAAAACUGGGGCGCUUUUGCGUGUUCAUCUUGUGCACGGGAAUUUGGCAGCUAACCUAUGCGACAACGACUCAGCACAUUUGCUCCAAUGGACUCUGUGGGCUACAUGCGAAGUUUAUCAUCCUCGUCCUUUUCGGGUAAUUCCAAGUCCUUAAUGGUUAAGCGCAUAUCCGUGCCAGUGUCAGCAGCAUCCUCACAGACGACCGAGAUGGGUUCAGCCAUUCUUUGUUUACAAUUGGGGCGCAUUCUAUCGGACAGCGUGGUGCGGCGCUUGAAAUAUCUCGAGUGCUACAUCUGACCAACGAACUGUUGAUAUUUUAUACACUUUUUUUGUAUAUAUUACAUUCAUUGUUAGGGCAUCCAGUUUUAAACGCCCUCACUUUUAUGCCAUUUGUUUAAAUGCCCCCUUUUUCAAUCUCAAUACUGGGUUUGUUGUUUACUUUAUGCCAUACUAGUUUCAAUCGGACAUAUAUUAUUCGCAUAUUAGGAACAAUACAUAAAACCUAGUUUAUGCACACAAUUGGUUGUUUUCAGGUACAGUUUUCCAGAGUUAGUUGACAUCGGUUUUCCGAUGAAGUUUUAUCUCUGGUUUUUCCCCUGGCCUUGAAAACACCUCUUAAGGUUACAGAAUAGAAGUGAUGUCUACAAAUCAUGGUUGUACUGUCAUGUUCUUCUACGAGUGUUACUUGAUUGUUAUGUAUUACGAAUCAUUUUUAUCUAUUACAAACUGUUUUAUUCGUCAUUCAUGUCUGGUUUGUAUGUAUUUGCCUUCCUGUCGCAGUGGAGGAAAAUUCUGUUUGCCGGGAGAUUGGAGGGGCAUGCGUACUUAUUCUACAACAUUUAUCUCUACAAGCUAACCUUAGCAACUAUGAAUCAACACAUUGGCUCGAAUGGACUCUGGGUUUCAGGCGUAGUAUAUCAACCUAAUUUAAAGGUUAAGCUUUAAAAAUAGUAGCAAUGCCGCAGGGAAAAAACUUGUAUAGCGAUUAUUGGUAUUAAAUGUCCGAGAUGUACUAAAUGUCCGAGUUAUGUCCGAGUUAAAAAGUGUGUAAUGGUCAAGUGACCAUUGAUAUUAAAUGUCCGAGUUAAAAAGUGCGUAAUGGUCAAGUGACCAUUGGUAAAGUGUGUAAUGGUAAAGUGACCAUUGGUACUAAAUGACCGAGUAAAAAAGUGUGUAAUGGUCAAGUGACCAUUGGUAUAAAAAGUGGUAUGAUCGCAAGUGCAGCGAUCAAGUAAAAGUGUGAUAAGUAAAACUGUGAUCGCAGGUGUAAGUGUAGCGAUCAAGUAAAGUGUGAUCGCAAGUGUAGCGAUCAAGUAAAGUGUGAUCGCAAGUGUAGCUAUCAAGUAAAGUGUGAUCGCAAGGGGAGCGAUCAAGUAAAGUGUAAUUGCAAGUGUAGCGAUCAUGGAUAUUAAGAGGUAAAGGGACUGGUAGAGCUAGGUCUAGCCCAAUCAGGUUAAUGGUUUUUCCUGGCCCAGUCGCUUGAUGAUCAAGAGCAUUUUUAUUUGGGUAGGCAGUGUUGCUACUAUAGCGUCGUAACUUCACAUCGGUAAUUCAACGUGUGCUCUUCCACCCCUGAUAGGCAUAGUUUUCUUGCGGCCGACUUCCACGAGUGUAUCAUCCACUCUUUCGAGGCUCGUGGUUACCAACGGCGGUUUCUGGUUAACGCUGCGGCCAUUAUAUCCCACUCUCUUACUUGCAUAAUAUAUUAUAUAGAUCUGUUAGUGAAUACUUUAUACAUGUAUAUUCGAUUUCAUUUGUGUGAUGGUUAUUGGGAGGCAAAAUAUAUUGUAAUCAUGUCAUUAAACUAGUCAACUGAACAAAUGUGUUGUUUAAUCGAUAUCAGUUUCAGUCGUAAAAUAAUUAAAAUUCAGUUGAUUUUUGUGUCGUUUCCGCAAAUCAUUCUUCUUCAUAAGAUACUGUUUUCCUCAGUCUUCCAAGUGAUUAACGAGAUUGUCUGGAAAAUCUGGUCUUUCACUUUUCCAUGGAAACCACUUAGUAUUUCCCUACUCCGACGUGAAUUUGACUUUUGAAAGUGUUUUUUGUUAAUUAAAUAUUUCUCGAUUAUUAGAAAUAACUGACGGAUAGAAAUCAACAAUUUCCAUUUUGCUCAUGCAUAGUAAAUUUCGGACUAGGAAAAUUAAUUAAAACAAUUGGUAGUACAUCGGGCAACUUGCUUUUCAAAAUAGCUUCAAACAUUAAGGUUUAUAUAAAAAGUUCUACAGA